rnacentral:rRNA from 1 species
ACGGGAUUUGUAUGGUGCUUGCACCAUGUAAUGAGAGUAGCGCACUGGUGAGUAACACGUGGGAACAUACCUUGAAGUGGGGGACAACAGUUGGAAACGACUGCUAAUACCGCAUAAUCCCUGAGGGGGAAAGAUUUAUCGCUUUAAGAUUGGCCCGCGGAAGAUUAGGUAGUUGGUGGGGUAAAGGCCUACCAAGCCGACGAUCUAUAGCUGGUCUGAGAGGACGAACAGCCACAUUGGAACUGAGACACGGUCCAGACUCCUACGGGAGGCAGCAGUGAGGAAUAUUGGGCAAUGGAGGAAACUCUGACCCAGCCAUGCCGCGUGAGUGAAGAAGGUUUUCGAAUUGUAAAGCUCUUUCGGAUGGGACGAUGAUGACGGUACCAUCUAAAGAAG